rnacentral:rRNA from 1 species
ACUGCUGCUAAGACUGGAUAGGAGACAAGAAGGCAUCUUCUUGUUUUUAAAAGACCUAGCAAUAGGUAUGCUUAGGGAGGAGCUUGCGUCACAUUAGUUAGUUGGUGGGGUAAAGGCCUACCAAGACUAUGAUGUGUAGCCGGGCUGAGAGGUUGAACGGCCACAUUGGGACUGAGACACGGCCCAAACUCCUACGGGAGGCAGCAGUAGGGAAUUUUCGGCAAUGGAGGAAACUCUGACCGAGCAACGCCGCGUGAACGAUGAAGUAUUUCGGUACGUAAAGUCCUUUUAUUAGGGAAGAAUAAAUGAUGGAAAAAUCAUUCUGACGGUACCUAAUGAAUAAGCCCCGGCUAACUAUGUGCCAGCAGCCGCGGUAAUACAUAGGGGGCAAGCGUUAUCCGGAAUUAUUGGGCGUAAAGGGUGCGUAGGCGGUUAAAUAAGUCUAUGGUCUAAGUGCAAUGCUCAACAUUGUGAUGCUAUAAAAACUGUCUAGCUAGAGUAAGAUAGAGGCAAGUGGAAUCCCAUGUGUAGUGGUAAAAUGCGUAAAUAUAUGGAGGAACACCAGUAGCGAAGGCGGCUUGCUGGGUCUUUACUGACGCUGAGGCACGAAAGCGUGGGGAGCAAACAGGAUUAGAUACCCUGGUAGUCCACGCCGUAAACGAUGAGUACUAAACGUGGGGUAAAACCAGUGUUGAAGUUAACACAUUACGUACUCCGCCCUGAGUAGUACGUACGCCAGUAUUGAAAACCUAAAAGGGAAUUGACCGGGAACCUCCGCCACAAAGCCGGGUGGAUCAUGUUGUUUAAUUCGAAAGGUACCCGAAAAACCUCACCAGGUCUUGACAUGCUUCUGCAAAGCUGUAGAAACACAGUGGAGGUUAUCAGUUGCACAGGUGGUGCAUGGUUGUCGUCAGCUCGUGUCGUGAGAUGUUGGGUUAAGUCCCGCAACGAGCGCAACCCUUAUUGUUAGUUACCAGCACGUAAUGGUGGGGACUUUAGCAAGACUGCCAGUGAUAAAUUGGAGGAAGGUGGGGACGACGUCAAAUCAUCAUGCCCCUUAUGACCUGGGCUACAAACGUGAUACAAUGGCUGUUACAAAGGGUAGCUGAAGCGCAAGUUUUUGGCGAAUCUCAAAAAAAACAGUCUCAGUUCGGAUUGAAGUCUGCAACUCGACUUCAUGAAGUUGGAAUCGCUAGUAAUCGCGAAUCAGCAUGUCGCGGUGAAUACGUUCGCGGGGUUUGUACACAC